CAUGGCUCAGAUUGAACGCUGGCGCCAUGCUUAACACAUGCAAGUCGAACGCGAAAGUCCUUCGGGGCGAGUAGAGUGGCGGACGGGUGAGUAACGCGUGGGAAUCUACCCUAGAGCGGGGGACAACCCGGGGAAACCCGGGCUAAUACCGCAUACGUCCUACGGGAGAAAGAGGGCCUCUGCUUGCACGCUCUCACUCCAGGAUGAGCCCACGUCCGAUUAGCUAGUUGGUAGGGUAAAGGCCUACCAAGGCCACGAUCGGUAGCUGGUCUGAGAGGAUGAUCAGCCACACUGGGACUGAGACACGGCCCAGACUCCUACGGGAGGCAGCAGUGGGGAAUAUUGGACAAUGGGCGCAAGCCUGAUCCAGCAAUGCCGCGUGUGUGAAGAAGGCCUGCGGGUUGUAAAGCACUUUCAGUGGGGAAGAACAGAUUCGGGUCAAUACCCCGGAGCCCUGACGUUACCCACAGAAGAAGCACCGGCUAACUCCGUG
rnacentral:rRNA from 1 species